AAAUUUGAGCUAAACGAUCGAACCCCAGAGCUGACAACAAUGGGAAAUAGCAGUACCACAAUCAUUACCAAUAACGGUACUAUCAAUGCCACAUCAUUCCACACUAAAUCAGCCACUACCACUGUAGCUAAUGGCAGCAGAGACAACCUGUGCGCCUAUUACAGCACCAGAGAGAUAAACCUGAAUGAGAAAAUCAAGUUGCCCUCCCUCAGCCUCCCCUCUACCAAGGCUAUCCACUUCACCCCCGAUGAGAUUUAUUUUAUCACCGUGGUGAUAGAGGACAAUGCCUCCGCCAAACCCAUCAUCGAGAACUUCCAGCUCACUCCAAACAAGUCCUUCAUCGUUACUGCAAGCCAUAAGAUCGUUCUGCGGAAGAGUAGCCAUGACCACGAGUGGAUCGACGAUGACGGCAACAACCACAACACAGCUUGAGUCACUCUUGCACAGGUAAUUCUGUUGAACAGAAGAAGAGAAGGAGAGGUAGCAAAGAUUCCUCUAGCUUCCUUUACUUGUAGAGACACGUCUGAUCUUCAUGAGGAUGUUGCCAUUUCCCUUUCUGAGCUUGAAAAGAAAUUGUGCCAGCACUUCACAAGGAUAGAGACACGAGGGAAACUGGGCAGGAAAGUGCCAGUCCUGUUGACACCUACCAUGGUAGCAGCAAUGGACCUUCUUGUCCAGAAACGUAAAGUCUGCCAAGUUUCAAGUGAAAACAGGUACAUGUUUGCAAGGCCAGGUGCGUCAUCUUACUAUCGAGGUUUAGACUGCAUCAGUCAAUUUGCCAGUGACUGUGGGGCCAAAAAUCCUGCCACGUUAUCUUCAACAAGAGUUUGGAAACACAUUGCCACAUUAUCCAAAGUCCUUACUUUGAGUGAAACAGAGUUAGAUCAACUAGCAGACUUUCUUGGAGAUGAUAUAAGAGUGCAUCAACAGUACUGUCGGCUGGAAGAAGGCACGUUGCAGCUGGCUAAGAUCAGUAAGAUUUUAAUGGCAAUGGAGACAGGAAGGCUGUCAGAGUUUAAAGGCAUGAAACUGGAUGACAUCACGAUUGAUCCACAAGGUAUAGUCGGGUUCAGAUAAUGAAUAAUGAACGGUUCACACUGGGGGGGGGGGUUGAGUUUGUUCUUAUUUAUGAAUGUUGUCUAAUUAAAAUUUACAGUCCACUUCAACAUGACUGUGUUUUUUUUGUGUCUAGAUUUACCAUAAUCUAACAGGUAUAAUAAUAGCAGUUAUUCUGUGUAAGCAGUUGGUAGCAGUUUCAGAAAUUGGAAUCAAGUCGUAUGUAAUACAAGCUUUUUUGGGUACAUAGUGUGAGAAAAAGGGGACAGAGUCCCUUUAAGAAAUGGUGGUCAGGACAAAAAAAUGCAUAUCCCAGAAGCCCUGAGACCAAGAGUAGUGCGAGGCAGGGCUAGGCCUUCUACAGGGCUAGGCAGUUCUCUUGAGGUGUGGUUGUGGGGAGACACAACCAGAGAGAUCUGCUGUCUUCAGUGACCAGGAAGUACAUCGAGGCCUGAUUGUUUAACCAAGGCAUGGUUGUUAUCGUAUAAAUUUGAGCUAAACGAUCGAACCCCAGAGCUGACAACAAUGGGAAAUAGCAGUACCACAAUCAUUACCAAUAACGGUACUAUCAAUGCCACAUCAUUCCACACAAAAUCAGCCACUACCACUGUAGCUAAUGGCAGCAGAGAAAACCUGUGCGCCUAUUACAGCACCAGAGAGAUAAACCUGAAUGAGAAAAUCAAGUUGCCCUCCCUCAGCCUCCCCUCUACCAAGGCUAUCCACUUCACCCCCGAUGAGAUUUAUUUUAUCACCGUGGUGAUAGAGGACAAUGCCUCCGCCAAACCCAUCAUCGAGAACUUCCAGCUCACUCCAAACAAGUCCGUCAUCGUUACUGCAAGCCAUAAGAUCGUUCUGCGGAAGAGUAGCCAUGACCACGAGUGGAUCGACGAUGACGGCAACAACCACAACACAGCCUGAGUCAGAGAAGUGAUUCUGCUCUGCUGGGUUGUAUAGUGGCUGAAGAUUUGCUGAUUUUGAAUAAAAACUCUAUUUCUGCUCUUUUAACACAAAUCUAUGCAUGGGAACUUGUUGUAACCUUGUUAUAAUCAGUAGGAGUCAUUUUCUCUUAAGUGUUAUGCAUAUCAGAUGCGGACAAAACAAUCUCAAUGACUUAAUUGAAUCUUAAUUGAACUAAUAAUGUGUCUGAUCAGAGGUUGUUUAUUAUUUUUUCAGGUUCCGUUUAAAAUUCUAUAACAAGUAACUGUUUAUAAGCUGCACAAAAUUCAAAGUAAGACAAUUAUUAGUUAUAUUAAUCGUUCAAUAAGUGACUGAGAGCAGCUCAGUUGAAACAAAACCCAGCAGAGACAGAGAGAGACACGGGUCUGGAUUAUUUUCUGCACCUGCUCAAAAAAAUACACAGUGCAUAAAGAAACGCGUCAACUCUGACAAUGUACAGUACGUGUAACACCCCGAAGAGAUCAGAGCCUCAAUACCACACAUAAUACAAACUGUAAUGAAUGUACACACACCCUAAUAAACACAUUGUGUAUUAGUACAGACCCAAAAGAAAAUACAAGACAAACUACUCACUACAGCACAGCAGUUCAGGCCCACGAGUACUGAAACCUAGCCUGAGAUAAAGCCUCUGUAACCGGUUUAUCCCGUCCUUAGCUUGCCUGCAUGGUGAACAGCUUCAACUCUGAGGAGCUUAAAGCCGGGUCCACACCUGAGUGAUCAGUUCAACAAGAUUCACGCGUACAAGUUUUUAGUCUGUUUGUUUUUGUUUUUGUUUUUUUUGCACAGCUGAGUCGACACUGUUAUUGUUUUGUUUUUGUUUUUCUGAAACAGCCUCUACAGUAUUAAGUCAUUAUUUUUUUCUUUCUGGUCAACGUUAAUAAAUAAAAGCUGUUAUUGUUUUUUCAA